rnacentral:rRNA from 1 species
AGCGAACGCUGGCGGCGUGCCUAACACAUGCAAGUCGAACGUGAAAGGGAGCAAUCCUGAGUAAAGUGGCGUACGGGUGAGUAACGCGUAGGUAAUCUACCCCAGAGUCUGGAAUAACCUGCCGAAAGGCGGGCUAAUACUGGAUAGAGCGACGGAAUCCGUAAUUGGGUUUUUCGGGAAAGGGAGGAAGCAAUUCCCUUCGCUCUGGGAUGAGCCUGCGUCUCAUUAGCUAGUUGGUGGGGUAAAGGCCCACCAAGGCAUUUAUGAGUAGCUGGUCUGAGAGGAUGAUCAGCCACACUGGAACUGAAACACGGUCCAG